AUUGAACGCUGGCGGCAGGCUUAACACAUGCAAGUCGAGCGGGGGAAGGUAGCUUGCUACCGGACCUAGCGGCGGACGGGUGAGUAAUGCUUAGGAAUCUGCCUAUUAGUGGGGGACAACAUCUCGAAAGGGAUGCUAAUACCGCAUACGUCCUACGGGAGAAAGCAGGGGAUCUUCGGACCUUGCGCUAAUAGAUGAGCCUAAGUCGGAUUAGCUAGUUGGUGGGGUAAAGGCCUACCAAGGCGACGAUCUGUAGCGGGUCUGAGAGGAUGAUCCGCCACCCUGGGACUGAGACACGGCCCAGACUCCUACGGGAGGCAGCAGUGGGGAAUAUUGGACAAUGGGGGGAACCCUGAUCCAGCCAUGCCGCGUGUGUGAAGAAGGCCUUAUGGUUGUAAAGCACUUUAAGCGAGGAGGAGGCUACUUAGUUAAUACCUGGAGAUAGUGGACGUUACUCGCAGAAUAAGCACCGGCUAACUCUGUGCCAGCCGCCGCGGUAA
rnacentral:rRNA from 1 species